AUUGAACGCUGGCGGCAGGCCUAACACAUGCAAGUCGAGCGAGCGGCGGACGGGUGAGUAAUGUCUGGGAAACUGCCUGCUGGAGGGGGAUAACUCCUGGAAAAGGUGGCUAAUACCGCAUACCCUCAGAUGUGCCCAGAUGGGAUUAGCUAGUGGGUGGGGUAACGGCUCACCUAGGCGACGAUACCUAGCUGGUCUGAGAGGAUGACCCGACACACUGGAACUGAGACACGGUCCAGACUCCUACGGGAGGCAGCAGUGGGGAAUAUUGCACAAUGGGCGCAAGCCUGAGACAGCCAUGCCGCGUGUGUGAAGAAGGCCUUCGGGUUGUAAAGCACUUUCAGCGGGGAGGCGUUACCCGCAGAAGAAGCACCGGCUAACUCCGUGCCAGCAGCCGCGGUAAUAC
rnacentral:rRNA from 1 species